GCACUAGCACCUCUAGCAUGAACAACACGUUCAGGUAUCUUCUCGCGAUCAAAUGUCGCGAGCUUCUCAAUUAGAUAGUAAUCCUCAAGCAGAACAGGCCCUCUAGGUCCAACAGUCAAGGAAGAAACAUUGUUGUACACAGGACCACCAGCAUUUGUUGUCAAGAAAGGGGUGUCGUAUGCGCUUGAUGGGCGAUACUUAGAGGGAUCCAUGGUGAUGGAAAUGAAAGAAGAAUUGAAGAGAGAGCCUUUUGAUCUAUA
rnacentral:misc_RNA from 1 species